rnacentral:pre_miRNA from 1 species
UUAAUACUCUUUUCGUCCGAAAAAAUUUGUCCCUCGAAUGGAUGUAUCUAGCACCAAGUUAGUGCUAGAUACGUCCAUUUGAGGGACAAACUUUUUCGGAUGGCUGGAGUACAAU